UUACGAAACUCGAUCUGUAAUUUCAUCCGAGGAUUUGUCUCCUAAACAAGAGACCAUACCCCAAGAAAAUGAAUUAAAACAGGACGAGGAUGUGGUAAAGCUUGAAGUUAAUUCUAACCUAAGAUCUGUUCUAUCAAGAAGCAGCCAAUUUAGUAACCAAUUUGGAAAAGAAAGAACUGUAACUGGAUUUGAAAAUUCGAAGCUCAAGCUAUGUUUCAUUAAUCAAACAGCUCCCACCAUUUUCACCAACAAUGAAAUAAAAGCCAAAGAUGGGAAACCACUACUAGUUGCAAUUUGUGAAAAUACUACCAACUCCAAUGCUAUCAUCAAGACAGGUCUUUUGUCGUCGGCCUUGGUUGAGUUCGUCGUC